GUGAGGAAUUUUCCGCAAUGGGCGAAAGCCUGACGGAGCAAUGCCGCGUGAAGGAUGAAGGCCUAUGGGUUGUAAACUUCUUUUCUCAGAAAAGAAUUAUGACGGUAUCUGAGGAAUAAGCAUCGGCUAACUCUGUGCCAGCAGCCGCGGUAAGACAGAGGAUGCAAGCGUUAUCCGGAAUGAUUGGGCGUAAAGCGUCUGUAGGUUGUUUAAAAAGUAUUCUGUCAAAGAUUAGGGCUUAACCCUAGAUAGGCAGAAUAAACUUUUAAGCUAGAGUUUGGUAGAGGCAGAGGGAAUUCCCGGUGGAGCGGUGAAAUGCGUAGAUAUCGGGAGGAACACCUAAGGCGAAGGCACUCUGCUGGGCCAAUACUAACACUGAGAGACGAAAGCGAGGGGAGCAAAUGGGAUUAGAUACCCGUGUAGUCC
rnacentral:rRNA from 1 species